GACGAACGCUGGCGGCGCGCUUAACACAUGCAAGUCGAGCGAAGCGGCGGACGGGUGAGUAACACGUGAGUAACCUGCCUUAGACAUUGGGAUAGCCUCGGGAAACCGGGAUUAAUACCAAAUGGUCUAAGAUGGACUCGCGUCCCAUUAGCUAGUUGGUGGGUAACGGCCCACCAAGGCGACGAUCCGUAACUGGUCUGAGAGGAUGAUCAGGCACAUUGGGACUGGGAUACGGCCCAGACUCGACGGGAGGCAGCAGUGGGGGAUAUUGCACAAUGGGCGAAAGCCUGAUGCAGCGACGCCGCGUGGGGGAUGAAGGCUUUCGGGUUGUAAACCUCUUCGCUAUCGAACAUUUUUUUGGUGGGUUGAGGGUAGGUGGAGAAGAAGCGCCGGCUAACUACGUGCCAGCAGCCGCGGUAAUAC
rnacentral:rRNA from 1 species